CAAUAGCAUAUAUUAACGUUGUUGCAGUUGAAAAGCUCGUAGUUGAACUUUUGGUAGGAGCGACCUGGCCUUGGGCGCAUGCCCUUGUUUGCCGUGUGUCGUAUCUGGCCAUCCUUUUCCGUUUCGGCGGGAAUCUUUUACUGUGAGUAAACUGGAGUGCUCAAAACAAGACGUUUGUUUGGUACACUAAAGCAUGGAAUAAUAAGAUAGGACCUGGUUACUAUUUUGUUGGUUUGCAUAGCUAGGUAAUGAUUAACAGGGACAGUUGGGGGUAUUCGUAUUUAAUUGUCAGAGGUGAAAUUCUUGGAUUUAUGAAAGACGAACGACUGCGAAAGCAUUUACCAAGGAUGUUUUCAUUAA
rnacentral:rRNA from 1 species